rnacentral:rRNA from 1 species
GAUGAACGCUGGCGGCGUGCUUAACACAUGCAAGUCGAACGGGAUCCAAGGAGCGUUUUUCGUUUUUUGGUGAGAGUGGCGAACGGGUGAGUAACACGUGAGUAACCUGUCCUUUUCUUUGGGAUAAGCUCCUGAAAGGGUGUUUAAUACCUUAUGUUCUGUCUGCCUCGCAUGGGGUGGGUGGGAAAGAUUUUUUCGGUGAAGGGUGGGCUCUCGGUCUAUCAGCUUGUUGGUGGGGUGAUGGCUUACCAAGGCUUUGACGGGUAGCCGGCCUGAGAGGGUGGUCAGUCACAUUGGGACUGAGAUACGGCUCAGACGCCUGCGGGAGGCAGCAGUGGGGGAUAUUGCGCAAUGGGCGCAAGCCUGAUGCAGCGACGCCGCGUGGGGGAUGAAGGCCUUCGGGUUGUAAACUUCUUUUGCUCUGAACACGGCGCAUCUUUGGGGUGUGUUGAGUGUAGGGGUUGAUUAGCGCCGGCUAACUACGUG